rnacentral:rRNA from 1 species
UCCUACGGGAGGCAGCAGUAGGGAAUCUUCCACAAUGGACGCAAGUCUGAUGGAGCAACGCCGCGUGAGUGAAGAAGGUUUUCGGAUCGUAAAGCUCUGUUGUUGGUGAAGAAAGAUAGUGAGAGUAACUGCUCAUUAUUUGCCGGUAAUCAACCAGAAAGUCACGGCUAACUACGUGCCAGCAGCCGCGGUAAA